GGUAAAUAAAUACUGAUCCAUGGCUUUUGGGACUUUGUGUGGAUCAAUGCUUGCAAAGUCCUCCUGAGGAAUGGUAUCGAUGUACCUGUAAUGCGAACAAACCCUCAUCACUAAAAGCUUCUGUUAUCACAGGUGCAAGCAGCAGGGUGCCUAGUUUACAUACACAGUGGAAGAUUUGGAGAGUCGUCUGUCUGAGGCAGUAGUUGAGACAAGAACAGAUCCUAUCUCUGCUGUCAUUAAGAGGAUUCUGGUUGGCUCCUUUACCUGGAGAAGGUGGUGAAGAUAUAGACGUGCAGUAGAGUGUUAAUCUUCCCAGUUUAUACAAAGUACAUGAUUGGAGGCGUUCCUGGAGGAACUGUAGCGCAAAUGCAACGAUCCUUACCUUCAGUUUCAGACGUGUGAGGCGACGGAGACCAUGAAGAACCUGCACCGUCUCUUGGAGAUGCACAAUAUGGUUAUUGGAUGCAUCAAGCACAUUAAGGGUCAGGGAGGAAGACAAAGGCAGAAGGCUGGAGAUCCGAUUGUUCUGAAUAUACAGUUCAUAUAGCCGGGGGAGAAUCUGAAUCCCAUCCAGAGAGUCCAACUGCAGAAUAAAGAUGUGCAACAAACAGUG